GCUUACGGCCACACCGGCCUGAGUACGCGUGAUCUCGUCCGAUCUCGGAAGCUAAGCAGGGUCGGGCCUGGUUAGUACUUGGAUGGGAGACCGCCUGGGAAUACCAGGUGCUGUAAGCU
ensembl:rRNA 5S_rRNA 5S ribosomal RNA